rnacentral:rRNA from 1 species
UACGUAGGGUGCGAGCGUUGUCCGGAAUUAUUGGGCGUAAAGGGCUCGUAGGCGGUCUGUUACGUCGGGAGUGAAAACUCAGGGCUCAACCCUGAGCUGCUUCCGAAUACGGGCAGACUAGAGGUAUGCAGGGGAGAAUGGAAUUCCUGGUGUAGCGGUGAAAUGCGCAGAUAUCAGGAGGAACACCGGUGGCGAAGGCGGUCUUCUGGGCCU